GGCCACGUGGCGGAAUUGGUAGACGCGCUACCUUGAGGGGGUAGUGUCCUCUGGACGUGCUGGUUCGACUCCAGUCGUGGUCA
rfam:Robiginitalea biformata HTCC2501, complete genome.